rnacentral:rRNA from 1 species
UACGUAGGGGGCAAGCGUUGUCCGGAUUUAUUGGGCGUAAAGAGCGUGUAGGCGGCCAAACAGGUCAGCUGUGAAAACUCGAGGCUCAACCUCGAGACGUCGGUUGAAACCGUUUGGCUAGAGUCCGGAAGAGGAGAGUGGAAUUCCCGGUGUAGCGGUGAAAUGCGCAGAUAUCGGGAAGAACACCCGUGGCGAAGGCGGGUCUCUGGGCCGAUACUGACGCUGAGGAGCGAAAGCAUGGGUAGCGAACAGG